CCUUUGUCUGGUUUGAUUUUUUUUAUUUCCUUCUGCGUCUGUUCUUUUUGUACAUGUAGAUGAUCUACCUAACAAUGUUUUAAUUAUUUCUUCCACAUGCUCUUGUAGUCGCCCGUAUGCUUGUCCAGUGCCGGACAAUGUGUUGCAUGAACAUGGGGAAACAGACUUGACGAAUGCAGCCAUAGGAUCGUCUACACUGGAAGUCAAGGCAAAAAAUGGCGCGAAAAAGAAACCAUGUAGAGGACAGGACCUCUGGUACGCAAGAGAUCAGUUCCUUCCUGUCUGGAGAUCAGUGCUAACAUGUCGGUUUAAUGUGAGGACCUUUUCCAUCAUAUGCACCAAACAAAGAGAGGCCAGUUACCCAAUAUGAUGGCGUCCAGAAGAAACUGACUGAUAGAAGGUCUUCCUCUAACGCUCGUCUUGGCAUGUUGGACUUGUUGGAGAAUAGGUCUCGGAAAUUAGCGAGUGGUCCAAAAUCAGCGAGUAGUCGCCGAUCCCGAAGGCUGUUUGGCACUGCUGCAUCGACAGUCCUGAAGAUGUUGAAGCGCGCAUGAUGAACGAGUAGGAUGGAAGGUAUAAUAGUUUACUAUGUAGCAUAUCGAACCGUCAGGCAGGGGUAGGAUUGAGCUAAACUAUAAAAAGCAUAUUGUGGAAAUGGAAUUUUGACUGCAGGUGCGUGCCCAGACGAACAAGCAACCAUCAUUCUCCCUGCAAUCAAUCAAUGCAAGAUGGUUCUGUUUUGCCCACGGCGAUGGGUGAGCGCUGGAUAGGUGUUUGGCCAUUGUGCAUGUCUACUGAAAGUAACUGUUGCUAUUUGGUUAACAAAUAGUAGUAUCUUCCCCUCAAACCAAGAAAAAAAACAAGUAGUAGUAUCUUCCUGAUUCCUGAAGAUGUAUUUUUCAGAGGCUGGACUUGGCUUGUGCCUUGGUUAUGUAUGAUCUUGCUAGAGUGCGGGCUGAUCCUGUGGAUAAUGACCCUCCUCUACGAUCACGAUUCCCUAUGCUCUACAGCAUUUGCAAUG